AUUGAACGCUUGCGGCAGGCCUAACACAUGCAAGUCGGGCGAGCGGCGGACGGGUGAGUAAUGUAUGGGGAUCUGCCUGAUGGCGGGGGAUAACUACUGGAAACGGUAGCUAAUACCGCAUACCCUCAGUUGAACUCAUAUGGGAUUGGCUGGUAGGUGAGGUAACAGCUCACCUAGUCGACGAUCCCUAGAUGGUCUAGGAGGAUAAUAAGCGACACUGGGACUGAGACACGGCCCAGAGUCAUGCGGGAGGCAGCAGUGGGGAAUAUUGCACAGUGGGCGCUAGCCGGAUACAGCCAUGACGAGUGUAAGAAGGAGGCCGUAGGGUUGUAAAGUACUUUCAGCGGGGAGGCGUUACCCGCAGAAGAAGCACCGGCUAACGCCGUGCCAGCAGCAGCGGUAAUAC
rnacentral:rRNA from 1 species